UAUUUUUUAUAUAUUUUAUACGAUUUACAUGAAACUGAUAAAAUCGUCAGAAAUUUUUAUUACAAUUAUAAUUAUUUUUUUUCAGCUGGGGAAGUAAUGAUUUCAAUUGCUGUUUAAUUAGCCUCAAAUCUUCGUUUGGUGAUAAGCCGUAAUAAUCUACAAAUUUGUCGUUAGAAUUACUAUAAAUAAUAACUAUAAAAAAUAACCAAAAAUACUGAAAUAACGAUAAAAUAAUUAUCUUUGUUUAAGAUAAAAACAAGAGAACGUAAAACAAUUUAUAGCCUCGUGACGAUGGAAAAACAAACCUUGAGAGGAGUGAAGACACGAUGAUUUCUUAAUCCUCCUGAUGGUUGAAAUUUGCGUUGGUGUCUGGACGUUCGGCUGGCUGGAUGUGACACAGCCGAAUUUUGAAAAGCAUCAGCUAUGCCGACAUCUUGCCUUCGAGGCGCCCAGUUAAUAUUGUGGAUAAAUUCUACUCGUUGAACACAAAGAUUUAAACAGAACACUCAGUCACAGAACACUAUAAUAUUUAAGGAAUUUGAUUGUGUGAUCUUGAUUUUAUCCCUCCUGGAUAGUCCAUGAAGAGGAUGAGCAGUAGAAAGUACAGUCGACGCGUUAUUCGAAAGAGACACCUGCACGAGGCUGGAGACUCGCCAAAUAACUGAUAGCGUGGGCGUCGCGACUUCGAAGACGACGUCGAACGACCAAAGUCGAGAGGGGGUGAAGCUUCCCCGUUCUUCUUGUUCCAUUGGUCAGGAACCGAUUGUGUGAUUCGUGUCUUCCUCCUCUCCGUCUUCUGUUCUUACCGAUCGUUCCUAUCACUGGAGCUAAGCUGCGAAUUGUUGCACCGGUAGAGUCGUCAUCAGUUGCUCUGAUUUGGAGAGGAAGAUUCAUGAUACGAAGAUGAUGGAGACCUACGAUGAGAUUUAAGAUUCAUUUGUGAUAGAUAAACUAUUAAUGCACUCAAAGAAAGUAAGAAAUUACAAUUUCUACAAAUUAGAAUUACUACGAAUUUUAGGGGAUGGUUUUAUGAUGAUGAGACGCAAUGUAUAUUCAAUAUUAAUAAGAUUUUUAUUAAUGGAUUGCGGAUAUUUAUGCAUAUUUAUAUUUUUAUGAAUAUAAUUAAACUGGAAUUUAUGCAGAGAAUUUUUUCUUUCGUAAAUAUCACAACGAGUGUUAUACUCUUGAUAUUUUGCAUAUUUCAUAUACAUUCUACACAUUUCUACACCUUUCGAUUUCUCCUCCUUCUUUCUAAUCUAAAUAUAUCAAAAUUCACACUCAGUUUUUAAUAAGCAAUCCAACAACCAUCACGAUUUUUCAAUCAUCAAAAUCUAAACUCCUGCACAUCGAAUUAA